rnacentral:ribozyme from 1 species
GGUAUGGAUCCGAAUGCCUCUUGAAGGUUAACAAAGGCUCUCCAAGCACCCUACUUCGACUCAAUACGGCGUAUAGAACGAUAACAUGUCUCUCCAAAUAUCUGAGCUUGAGUAUAUUUCUCACGGAGCUUUAAAUAGCUAGGAUAGGAUAGGC